CGUGAAAUUGUUGAAAGGGAAGCGCUUGUGACCAGACUUGGGCGCGGCGGAUCAUCCGGGGUUCUCUCCGGUGCACUUCGCCGCGUCUAGGCCAGCAUCAGUUCGUCGCGGGGGAAAAAGGUUUCGGGAACGUAGCUCCUCCGGGAGUGUUAUAGCCCGUUGCAUAAUACCCUGCGGUGGACUGAGGACCGCGCAUCUGCAAGGAUGCUGGCGUAAUGGUCACCAGCGACCCGUCUUGAAACACGG
rnacentral:rRNA from 1 species